GAACGCUGGCGGCGUGCUUAACACAUGCAAGUCGAACGGAAAGGCCCCUUUGGGGGUCCUCGAGUGGCGAACGGGUGAGUAACACGUGAGUAACCUGCCCUUGACUUCGGGAUAACUUCAGGAAACUGGGGCUAAUACCGGAUAGGAAUCCUUGCUGCAUGGUGGGGGUUGGAAAGCUUCGGCGGUUUUGGAUGGACUCGCGGCUUAUCAGCUUGUUGGUGGGGUAGUGGCUUACCAAGGCUUUGACGGGUAGCCGGCCUGAGAGGGCGACCGGCCACAUUGGGACUGAGAUACGGCCCAGACUCCUACGGGAGGCAGCAGUGGGGAAUAUUGCACAAUGGGCGGAAGCCUGAUGCAGCAACGCCGCGUGCGGGAUGACGGCCUUCGGGUUGUAAACCGCUUUCAGCAGGGGCGAAGCUUGUGGUGACGGUACCUGCAGAAGAAGCACCGGCUAACUACGUG
rnacentral:rRNA from 1 species